rnacentral:rRNA from 1 species
UACGUAGGGUGCAAGCGUUGUCCGGAAUUAUUGGGCGUAAAGAGCUCGUAGGCGGUCUGUCGCGUCGAAUGUGAAAACCCGGGGCUCAACCCCGGGCCUGCAUUCGAUACGGGCAGACUAGAGUUCGGUAGGGGAGACUGGAAUUCCUGGUGUAGCGGUGAAAUGCGCAGAUAUCAGGAGGAACACCGGUGGCGAAGGCGGGUCUCUGGGCCGAUACUGACGCUGAGGAGCGAAAGCAUGGGGAGCGAACAGG